rnacentral:lncRNA from 1 species
AAUCAUUGUUGUUCAAGUCCAAAAAUAGAUCAGGGAUAAAGAACGUUACGAAAAUACUGGAAGAUGGAUCUGCAAGAUGAAUCUACUCUACUCCAAUCCUACAAAAGAGUAUUGCAAAAGAGUUCUUCCAAUCUAUGCCUAAUGGAUCUCGAUACCUAUUACCGAUGAAAAGUUACAGGCUAUAUUUAUAGACUAGACCAGAGAUUUUUUUAGAUUAACAUAAUUUUCUGUCCAUUAAGAAAUCAUAACCAUAGUGGAGUCCUUAUUUUGAUCAGAGUUCAUCU